rnacentral:rRNA from 1 species
UCUAUAAUGCAGUCGAGCGCGGGAAGCAAACCGAACUCUUCGGAGUGAGGUUUGUGGAACGAGCGGCGGACGGGUGAGUAACACGUGGGCAACCUGCCCGUAAGACGGGGAUAACCCCGGGAAACCGGAGCUAAUACCGGAUAGACUUUUCCUUCGCAUGAAGGGAAAGGGAAAGAUGGUUUCGGCCAUCGCUUACGGAUGGGCCCGCGGCGCAUUAGCUGGUUGGUGGGGUAACGGCCUACCAAGGCAACGAUGCGUAGCCGACCUGAGAGGGUGAUCGGCCACACUGGGACUGAGACACGGCCCAGACUCCUACGGGAGGCAGCAGUAGGGAAUCUUCCGCAAUGGACGAAAGUCUGACGGAGCAACGCCGCGUGAGUGAGGAAGGUUUUCGGAUCGUAAAGCUCUGUUGUUAGAGAAGAAUAGGCGUCAUAGGAAAUGAUGGCGCUGUGACGGUAUCUAACCAGAAAGCCCCGGCUAACUACGUGCCAGCAGCCGCGGUAAUACGUAGGGGGCGAGCGUUGUCCGGAAUUAUUGGGCGUAAAGCGCGCGCAGGCGGCUCUUUAAGUCUGAUGUGAAAGCCCGCGGCUCAACCGCGGAGGGUCAUUGGAAACUGGGGAGCUUGAGUGCAGGAGAGGAGAGUGGAAUUCCACGUGUAGCGGUGAAAUGCGUAGAGAUGUGGAGGAACACCAGUGGCGAAAGCGGCUCUCUGGCCUGUCACUGACGCUGAGGCGCGAAAGCGUGGGGGAGCAAACAGGAUUAGAUACCCUGGUAGUCCACGCCGUAAACGAUGAGUGCUAGGUGU